ensembl:lncRNA
GUGCCAGAUGCCAGGGAUUAAAAAGUGAAUGAGACCCACACCUGUCCAAUCAAUUCCCAGUCCUAAAUGGGAAACAAGGCAACAAGUAAUUCCUAUGCAGAGCAGUGAGCCUAGGGAGUUAGAGAAAUGUGCCCAUUGAAAGAACACCCGAGAGGGACCACUGCUCCCCAACUGUGGCAAGAGGCUCAGGGAAGAUUCCUGAAGGAGCCGAGUCUUGAAAGCACUCCAUGUGGGGAAAGCCAAAGGGGUACAGCAGACAUGCUUCCAGCACUCAGCAAGGUACAGCCCCGAAGAUAGGAUGGACACAGCCCAUCAUCAGUUGCCAUGGAAGCCAUGGGAAGGUCCUGCUAAAGCACCUGUGAUUAGACAGAGCUGGAAGAACCAGCAAGGAUGAGGUGGCUGAAUCCAGCAGAGUCCUGCUGGGAAGCAGCUUGGAGCAGGCCCAUAAAAGACAAGAACACUCCCCGCUGGAUGCUCCAGAGGUGGAAGACACUUGUGCUGGAUAGGGACCAGGAACUGGUGGGCAUGGGACCCCUUGCCUUGCCCCAGGCAGACAUUCACCCCACCAGCCUUCACGCAGGUGGUAGGAGCUGUCGUCUGCCCACCCUUUCACGUGUCUACCCUAGACCCUUCGGAACUCGUCAGCAGGCAUCUUCCCGGCAUGAAUUACUCCCCACUUCCUUUUAUCUUUGUGGUUUCAG